GAGUUUGAACCUGGCUCAGGAUGAACGCUGGCGGCGUGCUUAACACAUGCAAGUCGAACGGACCCAUAUUGAAACCUAGUGAUAUAUGGGUUAGUGGCGGACGGGUGAGUAACGCGUGGGCAACCUGCCUUACACAGGGGGAUAACACUUAGAAAUAGGUGCUAAAACCGCAUAAGCGCACAGCUUCGCAUGAAGCGGUGUGAAAAACUCCGGUGGUGUAAGAUGGACCCGCGUCUGAUUAGCUUGUUGGCGGGGUAACGGCCCACCAAGGCGACGAUCAGUAGCCGGCCUGAGAGGGCGGACGGCCACAUUGGGACUGAGACACGGCCCAGACUCCUACGGGAGGCAGCAGUGGGGAAUAUUGCACAAUGGGGGAAACCCUGAUGCAGCGACGCCGCGUGAGUGAAGAAGUAAUUCGUUACGUAAAGCUCUAUCAGCAGGGAAGGAAAUGACGGUACCUGAGUAAGAAGCCCCGGCUAACUACGUGCCAGCAGCCGCGGUAAUACGUAGGGGGCAAGCGUUAUCCGGAUUUACUGGGUGUAAAGGGAGCGUAGACGGUGCGCCAAGUCUGGAGUGAAAUGCCGCAGCUUAACUGCGGAACUGCUUUGGAAGCUGGCGGACUAGAGUGCGGGAGGGGUAAGCGGAAUUCCUAGUGUAGCGGUGAAAUGCGUGGAUAUUAGGAGGAACACCGGUGGCGAAGGCGGCUUACUGACCGUAACUGACGUUGAGGCU
rnacentral:rRNA from 1 species